AUGCUCGAUGAUUCAGAUCAUAAAUCAUAUGAUUUUGAAGCAGGUAUUGACCCUCAAAGGAAUGUGCUUAAUACAAUUAAUGUCACAUGUGAAUAUUAUACAGAGGAGCAAUUCAGGGAUACGGUUGAAAUAGUUAAUACAUUUUCAUUAAUUCAUAUUAAUUGCAGAAGUCUUUAUAGAAGUUUUGCUUCGAUUAAAGAUUUUCUGUAUAGUUUGAGAGGCAAGUUCCAAAUAAUUGCUCUGUCUGAAACAUGGUUAGAUGAGAAAAGGGGUUGUCAUUUUUGUAUCGAAGGGUACGAUUUAUACUUUGUAAAUAGAAUUAAGAAAAAGGCAGGAGGGGUGGCACUUUUUGUUAAUUGUGAUUUGAAAUGUAAAAAAGUUGAAUGUAUGUCUGUGGCUAUAGACGAUUUAAUGGAGUCUGUAACAGUGGAAUUGGAUAUAGAAAGAAGAAGUAAUAUAAUUGUAACGUGUAUAUAUAGGAAACCGGGGUCACAGAUUGAGUUAUUUACAGAGGCAGUAGAAGACUUAUUGAGUAAGGCUAAGGGAAAUAAGACUUUAUGUUUGUGUGGUGAUUACAAUAUUGAUCUUUGUAAAGAGGCAAAUGAUAAGGCUGCGUCAGAUUUUUUUGAAUUAUUACUUGGUAAAGGAUUUUAUCCCUUAAUUAUAAAGCCGAGUAGAAUAACGGAUAAAUCGGAAACACUAAUUGAUCAUAUUUUCAUUAAUAGCUUGGAGAGUAAUAUUAUCAGUGGCCUCAUCAUAAAUGAUAUAAGCGAUCAUCUACCAGUCUUUUUUACUUUUGAUUUAAAUAUGAAAAGAAAGGAAGAAGUUGGGUUCGUGAGUCAUAGAAGGUUAAGAAAUAACGAGGCAAUUAACAAGUUUAGACAAGAUCUCAUGGAAGUGGACUGGAAGGAAGUUUAUGUUAAUGAGGUCAACGUUGCAUAUGGAGCUUUUUUAAAUACUUACUUGGCCUUGUAUGAUAAACAUUGUCCAUUGGUAUCAUUUAAGUAUAAGAAAAAGAAUAAGAAUAUGAAACCUUGGAUAACUAAGGGUCUUGCAAAUGCGUGUAAAAAGAAAAAUAAUUUAUAUAGGGAUUAUAUAACACAGAGAACUAAGAAUGCGGAAAUGAAAUAUAAAGUUUAUAAAAACAAGUUGGUAGUAAUAUUGAGGAAAGCCAAGAAAGACUACUAUAAUAAACUUUUUCAGGAAAAUAAGAAUAAUAUUAAGGGCAUUUGGAAUAUUUUUAAGGAGGUACUGGGUAACAAGAACACACCCUUAGAUCGGCCUAAUUAUUUUAUUAAGAAUAAUCAAGUUUCGAAGAUAAGACUGAAGUAG
rnacentral:lncRNA from 1 species